GGUCCGGUGGUGUAGUGGUCAUCACGUCUGCUUUACACGCAGAAGGUCCCCGGUUCGAACCCGGGUCGGACCA
rnacentral:tRNA from 1 species